UCCAACCCUAAUAACCUACCCGACACCUCCUUUUCCCCCUCUUCAUUGCCGACCCUUCCCCGAGCCAUCACCUCGCGUCGUCGGCCUCUCCUCCUCCGCCAAGCCUCUUCUCCCUAAGCCGUCACCGCCGGUUCUCUGCUCCGUCGGGUCACAGCCACUGAGUUCCCGCACCACAGCAGCCGACACCUUCUCCCCUCCUCGGCGCCAAGCUUCUUCUUCUCCUUGUGAUCGACUACUCAUUUUCUCUCCUUGGUGACGCUGGAGCAGAUCGGGCAGCUUCCUUUCUUCUGGCUUCUACAAGCGACGACGUCUCGUCUUCUUCCACCGCCAUCCACUGGACCUCGGGGGGUGCCCUAGUUCGUUAGGCACCACAGGGUCGAGCCAGUGCCACUCGAUCGUCGGCGUAAGGAGGUGCUCAGGGACCCGAGAGGCAGUGGAGAUCUGGUUCUUACUCCUAUGUUCCGUACUAAUUCGACCCUACCAAACAUCAACCGAGCAGUAGGGGGGAUUGUGUCCUAUUCUGGUCGGAUGGGCUGCGUUUGGAUUGUAGACCAAGUAGUGAUAAAGCAGAUGGAGACAAGGUAACAGGUAGAUGAGUCAUGGAUGCUUGGAGAGUCCCGGCUGCCAGCCCCACGUCACACACAAGGAUAGUUUUCUUUUUGGAUUUUGUUACUGUUUGGGUGACAUGUUAAUUUUGCGUAUUUCGCUUUUGAACAAGUCACUGUGGAUUUUUUUUUAGGGAGUUUAGUCUGGUAGUUGCAUGUAUUUUUGUUAGUGUCGUUGUUGGUCUUAUGUUCAUAUUGUCUUGUGUUUUCCGCUACGUUUAUGUUGUUGUGUGUUUACUUUCA